rnacentral:rRNA from 1 species
AGGACGAACGCUGGCGGCGUGCUUAACACAUGCAAGUGGAGCGACGAACCAGGGCUUGCCCUGGGGCAGAGCCGCGAACGGGUGAGUAACACGUGGGUAGCGUGCCCCGAUGACUGGGACAACCCGGGGAAACCCGGCUAAUACCGGAUAUGCCCCCUGACAUCUGUCGGGUGUGUAAAGGAAGCUUCGGCCCUCCGCAUCGGGAUCGGCCCGCGGCGCAUUAGCUUGUUGGUGGGGUAAUGGCCUACCAAGGCAGCGAUGCGUAGCUGGUCUGAGAGGACGAUCAGCCACACUGGGACUGAGACACGGCCCAGACUCCUACGGGAGGCAGCAGUGGGGAAUCUUGCGCAAUGGGCGAAAGCCUGACGCAGCGACGCCGCGUGGGGGAAGAAGGCCUUCGGUGUAAACCUCUUUCAGCAGGACGAAGCCACUCGGUUAAUAGCCCAGAGGUGACGGUACCUGCAGAAGAAGCCCCGGCUAACUACGUGCCAGCAGCG